AGAAGUGCGAAUGCUGACGUGAGUAACGACAAAACGGGUGAAAAACCCGUUCGCCGAAAGACCAAGGGUUCCAGUCCAACGUUAAUCGGGGCUGGGUGAGUCGACCCCUAAGGCGAGGCCGAAAGGCGUAGUCGAUGGGAAAAUGGUUAAUAUUCCAUUACUUCUGUGUAAUGCGAUGAGAGGACGGAGAAGGCUAAAUCAGCCUGGCGUUGGUUGUCCAGGUGAAAGGAUGUAGGCAUGUAUCUUAGGCAAAUCCGGGGUACUCUAUGCUGAGAUCUGAUAGCAAGCUGUACUUGUACAGCGAAGUGGUUGAUGCCAUGCUUCCAGGAAAAGUCUCUAAGCUUCAGUUACACAGGAAUCGUACCCGAAACCGACACAGGUGGUCAGGUCGAGUAGACCAAGGCGCUUGAGAGAACUCUGCUGAAGGAACUAGGCAAAAUGGUACCGUAACUUCGGGAGAAGGUACGCUGUUGUUGGUGAUGGAACUCGCUUCCUGAGCUGACGACAGCCGCAGAAACCAGGCCGCUGCAACUGUUUAUUAAAAACAUAGCACUCUGCAAACACGAAAGUGGACGUAUAGGGUGUGAUGCCUGCCCGGUGCUGGAAGGUUAAUUGAUGGGGUUAGCGUAAGCGAAGCUCUUGAUCGAAGCCCCAGUAAACGGCGGCCGUAACUAUAACGGUCCUAAGGUAGCGAAAUUCCUUGUCGGGUAAGUUCCGACCUGCACGAAUGGCAUAAUGAUGGCGGCGCUGUCUCCAGCAGAGGCUCAGUGAAAUCGAAAUCGCUGUGAAGAUGCAGUGUACCCGCGGCUAGACGGAAAGACCCCGUGAACCUUUACUGCAGCUUGACACUGAACUUUGACCUUACUUGUGUAGGAUAGGUGGGAGGCUUUGAAGCUGGAACGCUAGUUCCAGUGGAGCCGUCCUUGAAAUACCACCCUGGUAAUGUUGAGGUUCUAACUCUGUCCCGUGAUCCGGGACGAGGACCGUGUCUGGUGGGUAGUUUGACUGGGGCGGUCUCCUCCUAAAGAGUAACGGAGGAGUACGAAGGUGCGCUCAGCGUGGUCGGAAAUCACGCGUAGAGUAUAAAGGCAAAAGCGCGCUUAACUGCGAGACCCACAAGUCGAGCAGGUACGAAAGUAGGUCUUAGUGAUCCGGUGGUUCUGUAUGGAAGGGCCAUCGCUCAACGGAUAAAAGGUACUCUGGGGAUAACAGGCUGAUACCGCCCAAGAGUUCAUAUCGACGGCGGUGUUUGGCACCUCGAUGUCGGCUCAUCUCAUCCUGGGGCUGAAGCAGGUCCCAAGGGGAUGGCUGUUCGCCAUUUAAAGAGGUACGCGAGCUGGGUUUAGAACGUCGUGAGACAGUUCGGUCCCUAUCUACCGUGGGCGCUGGAAAUUUGAGAGGAUCUGCUCCUAGUACGAGAGGACCAGAGUGGACGAACCUCUGGUGUACCGGUUGUGACGCCAGUCGCAUCGCCGGGUAGCUAUGUUCGGAAGGGAUAACCGCUGAAAGCAUCUAAGCGGGAAGCCUACCUCAAGAUAAGAUUUCCCUAGGACUUUAUGUCCUCUAAAGAGCCGUUCGAGACUAGGACGUUGAUAGGUUGGAUGUGGAAGCAUAGUGAUAUGUGAAGCUGACCAAUACUAAUUGCUCGUGAGGCUUGACUAU
rnacentral:rRNA from 1 species